CCCUAUUAUUGACGGAAAAAAAACAAUUGGGGAGUAGGGUUUAAGGGCCUGAAAACUAUUCAGAAUGACGGUUUUUUUUAUUUUCAGAUAGAUGUGUUUUGAAAACGAAAAUGCACGAAUAUCUUUCUUAGUCUAGAAGAACCCAUCCUGUACACCGCCGUCUGAAGAAUCAAUUUAAUUGAUUAAUUCUAUUUCUCUGUUUGAACGGAAAUAAGUCAGGUUAGGUGCAGACUAUGGUUAAGAAAAAAUGCAUUUCACUAUGUUCCCAAGGAGAAUUUGAAAGUAUGUUCCCAAGGAGAAUUUGAAAGUAUGUUUUUUUAAUAAAAAAAAAACGAAUUAAUACCAAAAAAAUGUACACAUCGCCCG
rnacentral:rRNA from 1 species